rnacentral:tRNA from 1 species
AUUUAUGUAGUUUACAAAAAUAUUAUAUUUUCAGUAUAAAGACAGUGUAUUAAACACUCUUAAAUA